UGUCCAAACUCGAAGUAGAGUAGAUUAGUAGGGUCAGCUGAUACCGCUAAUCUACUCUACUUCAAAUUUGUGCCC
rfam:Haemonchus contortus, ISE/inbred ISE, WGS project CAVP01000000 data, contig: Hcontortus_29622